rnacentral:rRNA from 1 species
CCUACGGGGGGCUGCAGUGGGGAAUAUUGGACAAUGGGGGCAACCCUGAUCCAGCCAUGCCGCGUGUGUGAAGAAGGCCCUCGGGUUGUAAAGCACUUUCAGUGAGGAAGAACGCCUGGUGGUUAAUACCCAUCAGGAAAGACAUCACUCACAGAAGAAGCACCGGCUAACUCCGUGCCAGCAGCCGCGGUAAUACGGAGGGUGCGAGCGUUAAUCGGAAUUACUGGGCGUAAAGCGCGCGUAGGUGGCUUGAUAAGCCGGUUGUGAAAGCCCCUGGCUCAACCUGGGAACGGCAUCCGGAACUGUCAAGCUAGAGUGCAGGAGAGGAAGGUAGAAUUCCCGGUGUAGCGGUGAAAUGCGUAGAGAUCGGGAGGAAUACCAGUGGCGAAGGCGGCCUUCUGGACUGACACUGACACUGAGGUGCGAAAGCGUGGGUAGCAAACAGGAUUAGAUACCCUAGUAGUC